rnacentral:rRNA from 1 species
CUACGUGCCAGCAGCCGCGGUAAUACGGAGGAUGCGAGCGUUAUCCGGAUUUAUUGGGUUUAAAGGGUGCGUAGGCGGCCUGUUAAGUCAGCGGUGAAAUCUAGGAGCUUAACUCCUAAAUUGCCAUUGAUACUGGCGGGCUUGAGUGUAGAUGAGGUAGGCGGAAUGCGUGGUGUAGCGGUGGAAUGCAUAGAUAUCACGCAGAACUCCGAUUGCGAAGGCAGCUUACUAAGGUACAACUGACGCUGAAGCACGAAAGCGUGGGUAUCAAACAGGAUUAGAUACCCUGGUAGUCCACGCAGUAAACGAUGAUAACUGGGCGUAUGCGAUAUACAGUAUGCUCCUAAGCGAAAGCGUUAAGUUAUCCACCUGGGGAGUACGCCGGCAACGGUGAAACUCAAAGGAAUUGACGGGGGCCCGCACAAGCGGAGGAACAUGUGGUUUAAUUCGAUGAUACGCGAGGAACCUUACCCGGGAUKAA